CAAGAAAAAUAAAAGAAUAGAAUUGCAUUGAAGAAAAAUUGAAAUACAAGAAUUCAGGAUCACAAAGGGAUCUCUCGGCCUGUCACCCACGAGAAAUCUCUCCGCGAAAUCAGCAGCAAAGAACCAUGAAAGCUAAAAAUCUAAAUGAAAGGAUGAAACUGAGUUUAUAGUGGUGUCUGUCACCCACCACCUGUAUUGUUCAUUACAAAGACCCCUUUUAUAGGGAAAAUCCAAAACUGAAAAAGAAAAGAAAAGAGGGAAAGGGGAAAGAACUACAACUAACUCUAGAAGCUUCUCGAGCAACUCCUAACUGACUCUGAAUCGCUCUCCAACCGUCAACAGCUUCCGAUCAUCAUCUUUCUAGUCCGAUUAGCUUCUUGGGCUGGCUUCAUUUGGGCCGUGAAUCUCUGAAUUGCUGCAACACUUCUUCUCUCUGAAACGCUUUGAAGAACCCUAGCUUGAGGGUUGAGAGAAUUUGGGGAAAAACCUUCAAAAUCUGAUCGAGCCUCUUUGCGUAAAUGAAACGCGACUUUGAACCCUUCUCCACUUUGCCCUGACGCAGCAGCAUGAAACGCUGCGUUUCAUUUAAUUAGCAAAAGGGGCUUCAGCCCAUGUUUGCUCUUUCAUCAAAGUUGUCCCAAUUCAAGUUUCUUCA
rnacentral:lncRNA from 1 species